ACAAGUACCGUGAGGGAAAGUUGCAAAGCACUUUGAAGAGAGAGUUAAAGAGGACGUGAAACCGGUAGGAUGGAAACGGAUAGAGCUAGCGAAGCUGCUCGUAUUCAGCCGAAAACCAUGGGCUUCGGGCGGUCAGGAUGCUAACCGCGCUCGAUUGUCUAUUUGUCUGUGGUUGAGGUGCAUUUGCGAGCGAUUGCGCCGAGACUUGUGGGUCAGUGGCUGGAAGCGUGCUUAGAGGCCUCCCUCUGGGUUGAACCUUGGCACGUCGACGGCUAUUUGUCCUGCUCGUAACCGGGCUUGGCCUACGGACCUGUGUGCUGCUGCUGUGUUCGAGCGGUGGAGUCGCAUGCGACUUCUAGUUCGGAUGCCGUAGUUGUGCAUUCGGCCCUCAAGUCCCCUCUCGGUGUAGAAGCUGGUCAUCUAUCCGACCCGUCUUGAAACACGGACCAAGGAGUUUAGCGUAUGCGCGAGUCAUUGGGUGCUUAAAACUCAAAGGCGCAAUGAAAGUGAAGGCUCAGUCCCUGGGCUUACAUGUGAGUGGUCGAGCCUCGGCUCGGCCAUGCAGCAUGGUCCCGUUCCGAUUGCUUGCAAUGGAGCGGAGAUAGAGCGUAUGCGCUGAGACCCGAAAGAUGGUGAACUAUUCCUGAGCAGGACGAAGCCAGAGGAAACUCUGGUGGAAGUCCGAAGCGAUUCUGACGUGCAAAUCGAUCGUCUGACUUGGGUAUAGGGGCGAAAGACUAAUCGAACCAUCUAGUAGCUGGUU
rnacentral:rRNA from 1 species